AAUUUAAUGUGACGUGUGAUUGGCCCACUACUGCAUUAGCUACAACCUAUAGUCUUUGAUGUGGUGAAGUCGAGCGCAGUGUAUUUGACGGAGUUGGCAGUUCAGCUUGCCAAGAUGCUUCCAUUCAACUUGAUGGCUA